AGGGGAUGCUGAGGGGAUUUCCCGGGGUUCCCAAGGAUGUCUGGGGGUCCCAGGGGCUCUCAGAAAUGUCUGGGGGGCUCCAAAGGAUGCUCUGAGGUCCCGGGGAUGUUGUGGAAUGUGCCGGGAGUUCCCAAGGAUGCUGAAGAUGCACCUGGGGCUCUCAGGGGUGCCUGGGGGUCCCAGGGAAGCACCUGGGGGGUCUCAGAGGGGUCCCAGGGAUGCUGGAAAAUGCACUUGGGAGCUCCCAAGGAUGUCUGAGGGUCCCAGGGAUGCUGAGGAUGCGUUUGGAGGUCCCAGUGAUGCCGAGGGAAGCGCCUGCGGUUCCCACGAGUGCCCGGGGGUCCCGGACCCCCAUCUCACCCCCCGCUCCCCACAGCGCUGCCUGCAGCGGAUCCACCAAGCGCUCCAGCACUACCGGGACCUGCUGGGCUCCGACAUCUUCCAGGACCAGCCCCAGCCCCAGCUGGAGACCACGAUGGAGCAGCUGCUGCGCCACGUCCAGGAGGGGCACGGCCGCCCCCCCCGGCACCCCCUGGCCCCCACCGCGGUCUGGGCGCGGCACCUGGCGCGGCACCUGGCGCUGAAGCGGCUCCGCUCCUUCGCCGCCGUCAUCAGCCGCGUCUUCAACCACAGCGCCCGCUGAGCCCUCCGGACACCGCCCCCAGCCCUUAUUUAUUCCCCCUCGCCGAGGGGUUAUUUAUGAUGUGUUAUUCCCCCUAUUUAUCUCGGGUAUUUAUGAGUUUCUAAUAAAGCUCCGACGGAGACGAGCGAGCGGCUCAAGGGGCAGCGCGGCCAGCGGGUGGGAAGGGGUUUAUUUACAGGGAGAGGGGUGGGAAGGGGUUUAUUUACAGGGAGGGGUCACUGGAAGUCGCUGGCGUCGAUGUGGAGCGGGGGAAAGUCGGUGGAGGAGAAGAGGGAGGGGGCGGCGGGCAGGGCCAGCUCCUCGGACUGCGGCAGGAACGGGUCGUGGUGGUCCAGGAGAGCGGCGCUGCCUGGGGUGGGGACAGGGAGGUGCCAGGGGACAGCUCAGUGCCCAGGGGACAGCUCUGUGCCCCGAGUGUGCCCAGGGGACAGGACAGUGCCCAGGGGACAGGGAGGUGCCAGAGGACACCUCAGUGCCCAGAGUGUGCCCAGGGGACAGCUCAGAGCCCAGGGGACAGGGAGGUGCCCAGAGUGUGCCCAGGGGACAGCCCAGUGCUCAGGGGACACCUCAGUGCCCAGAGUGUGCCCAGGGGACAGGACAGUGCCCAGGGGACAGCUCAGAGCCCAGGGGACAGGACAGUGCCCAGGGGACAGCUCAGAGCCGAGAGUGUGCCCAGGAGACACCUCAGUGCCCAGGGGACAGCCCAGUGCCCAGGGGACACCUCAGUGCCCAGGGGACAGCCCAGUGCCCAGGGGACAACUCAGUGCCCAGGGGACAGCUCAGUGCCCAGAGUGUGCCCAGGGGACAGCUCAGUGCCCAGAGGACACCUCAGUGCUCAGGGGACACCUCUGUCCCCACCACCCCAGCCCCCACACUCACCGGGGCUCAGCUGGAAACUCUCCUCGAAGGUUUCCAUGUUCGGCAUCAGCUCCGCCAGUUCCAGCGUCUCCAGAGUCCCCGAGCCCAGGUCCGGCCCCUCCAGCGACUGCAGCAGCUCCUGCAUGUCCUGGCUGCCCGGCAGCAGCUCCAGGUCCCUCAGCUCCGGUGGCAGUGUCCCCUGCUCCUCGGGGAGCCGCGGUGGCUCCGCAGCCCCCGGCACCGGCUGCAGCGUCCCCGUGUCCACAGCCACUGUCCCCUGCUCCCCCCGCAGCAGCUGCAGGCUCCCCACGCCCCCUGAGCCCACCUGCAGCAUCCCCA
ensembl:lncRNA